CUUGCCAUUACGAAAAUACCCUGGGGUAAUGACGAUGGAUCUUAUAUGCAUGUACAGAUGGAGGAGUCUGACGGCAUCUCUUUUUCAACUGUCAGGCUAGGAGGUAAGCCCGGGCUUGAAGAGUCUUUCGGAGUGGAAGAUAAGAAACCUACGAGAGUGGCUGUAACAGAACAGGUCCGGGAUUAUGGAGGAAAAAUGAUUUUUGGACAAGGCCACACUUGCUAAGCCAAAGGGUUAUCCUUGGCUGAGGAGACUGAUAUUUCUGGAGAUGGGCCCUGGGAGAGGUGACCACUUGUGAAGAUCUGAAACUGAACUGUGAUAACUCCAGCUGCUUGACUAAGUUUGUCCUGUAGAGAUAAGGGAGAGAGGAGGAAGAAAGAAAGAUGGAGAACUAUUGGUGCUCCAGAAGAAACCUGUCCAGUUCUUUGUAGGUGCUAUGAAAUCCGUGACUGGGCUCUGCCUGCAGAGCUAUGGCCUGUUCCAGC